AUUGAACGCUGGCGGCAGGCCUAACACAUGCAAGUCGAACGAGUGGCGGACGGGUGAGUAAUUUCUGGAAAACUGCCCGAUGGAGGGGGAUAACUACUGGAAACGGUAGCUAAUACCGCUAACCAUCGGAUGUGCCCAGAUGGGAUUAGCUAACUGGUGGGGGAACGGCUCACCUAGGCGACGAUCCCUAGCUGGUCUGAGAGGAUGACCAGCCACACUGUAACUGAGACACGGCCCAGAGUCCGACGGGAGGCAGCAGUGGGGAAUAUUGCACAAUGGGCGAAAGCCUGAUGCAGCCAUGCCGCGUGUAUGAAGAAGGCCUUCGGGUUGUAAAGUACUGUCAGCGAGGAGGCGUUACUCGCAGAAGAAGCACCGGCUAACUCCGUGCCAGCAGCCGCGGUAAUUC
rnacentral:rRNA from 1 species